UGCGAAAAUAUAAAUCCAAAAAAAUUAAUAUAGGAGAAUCAUUUAAUAUUGAUAAUUAUUUAGAAGCUAUUUAGGGUAUAUGAAUAUUGUAAAUCAACAAGGAAGACUAGCCAACUUACAGGUAUUCCUAGAUCAAACUUUAUGAGAUAUUAUAAGAGAUAUCAAGAAAGUGGCAUACUUACUAGUGUAGGACAAAAUAAUAAAAAGAGGAUAUUCACAGAAGAAGAAGAGGGAGAUAUAAGUAAAUAUCUGAUUCAAUCUAGCCAAAUUUUUUAUGGCCUUUCAAUUAAAAAGAUAAAAAUAUUAGCCUACCAAAUGGCAGUAAAUAUGAAGAAAAAAUUUCCUAAAUCUUGGAAGGACAAUUCAAUGGCUGGCCAUGACUGUCAAGAGAGUUAAAAGGAGAGCAGAGAUAUUUACAUCAUCUCCUUAUAAAAAGAAAUUAAUUGAGAAAGAAAAGAAAAUAAUGGAAAAAGAAAAUAUUAACAAGAGAAAAAUAGUGAAAAAAAUUAUUCACAAAGAUAUUUGUGUUUGUUGUAAGCUGGAAUAUAUCAAACAUCAUAAUGGUGAAAAGUGGUACCAGUGCAGAAUGUGCCACGAAUGGGCAUAUGGUACAUGUGCUAAUUUUGAUAAAUUUUUUAUAUGUCCAAAAUGAAAUUAAGUUUCAAUUUUUAU